rnacentral:tRNA from 1 species
GGAGCCGUGCCUGAAAUAAAGGGUCACUUUGAUAGAGUGAAACAUGAAGGUUAAAGUCCUUCCGACUCCU